GAUGAAGAACGUAGCGAAAUGCGAUAAGUAAUGUGAAUUGCAGAACUCAGUGAAUCAUCGAAUCUUUGAACGCACCUUGCGCCCUUUGGCUAUUCCGAAGGGCAUGCCUGUUUGAGUAUCGUGAACACCUCAACUCUCAUGGUUUGCCAUGAUGAGCUUGGACUUUGGGGGUUUUGCUGGCCUUUGGUCGGCUCCUCUCAAACGGAUCAGCUUUCCAGUGUUUGGUGGCGUCACGGGUGUGAUAACUAUCUACGCCUGUGGUUUUCUGCCAGAUAACCUUCAGCGAUGGAGGUUCGCUGGGGCUCAUAAAUGUCUCUCUUCAGUGGAGACAGCUUUUUGGACGUUUGAUCUCAAAUCAGGUAGGACUACCCGCUGAACUUAAGCAUAUCAAUAAGCGGAGGA
rnacentral:misc_RNA from 1 species